UUGAAAAGAAGAAAACUAAAAUUAUUUUGAAAGAAAAGAAAUUUUUAAUAUACCGGAAUAAAAUUCAGAAGAAAAUUUAUACCCUUUAAUGAGAAGGAGAAGCUACCAGCUGGAAUUAUAUUAGUCUGACAUUUUAUUAACGAAAAUCAAAUGCUUUAAAAUGGACUGAUGAAAAAAUUUAAAACUUCCAUUUGGGAUUAAACAAAUUUCCAAUACCAAUGCCAGAUUGUAAGCUAUCACCAUGUUUGCAUUGCAUCUUUAUCCGGAGGGAAAUGCAUACAAUUUAGUCGUUUUUCCAUAUUCGAUGAUUCGAAAAAAAGAAAGUAUUCAAAUGAAAUUUUUGUUUAACCUCAAAAAGUAUGAUGGCAUUAUAUUUCUCCGACAAAGGGGCUAGAGACUGCAUUGGAGUAUGUGGGAAAUAUUCUGCAGAUUAUAAAUUUAGAGCUGAACAAGUAAACAAGUAGUAAGUUCGGCCCUGAUAAACUUUUACUAACCUCCACCAUAUGGGACUAAUUUGGAAAUUUAAAAAAAGCAAAAUUCUCUUAAAAUUUCCAUGCGAAGACGUGGACCUGCAUAGACAACAUUUGUCAUAAGCUAUUACAAUAUACGAAUACGAAAUUUGAAACCAUUCCGGUAAAUAAUGUAGCUUAAAUCGUCAAAAUACCGAAUAUCGGCAGGUGCCGAUAUAUGGGGGCUAUACGAAGGCGUGGACCUGUACAAACAAUUUUCUGUCAUAGGCUAUAGUAUCCAUUUCGAACUUCAAAUACGAAAUUUGAAACAUUUCCGGUGAAUAACCGGUGGAAUUACCGUUAAAUUGGGGCUAUACCAAAACGUGGACCUACAUGGCCGAUUUUCACUUCGUAUCAUAUUUUCCAGGGCGUAGAACCCCUCUUCGCAAUAAAUUUCCAUAGUCGGAGCAUAUUCCGGAGUGUUUGUAUUUGAUUAUUUGAAAAAUAAAAAUAAGUAAGCAAAAGCUAUAGCCGUGCGGGGCCGACCAUGUGAUACCCUACAACACUACAAUAUGUUGGAUGUCCCCUUAUGUCGAAAUCCAUUUUGGAAAAUUUCGUUCUUCAAAUAAUGUCAUAGAACCCUGCCCAAAUGUUAUGUAUUCAAAAUAAGAGCGACUGCAAAAUCAGAAAAAUUUUAAUUUUUUUUUUUGUCCAUUUAAACUCUUAAAUGUAUAUCUUCAAAA